GCUUGUUUCCAUGAAAGUCUAGGGCAGCAAAGCCCAACUUCUCAAAAUUGGAUCUCUACACUAACUCUUAAUCUCAGCAAUAUUCCUAACACUCUUCACAAGUUCAUAACGACAAAGAAAACGAAAGAAAGGCUUACCUGGAAAAUGGAAAACUCUCACUGUCGGCGUCGCAACCUCGAAUCCCUCCGUGUAACAACCGCGCGCUGCUACUCGUAGUCGAUUAGUUUUUCCGUGUGUUGAUCGAGAUGAAAAUGAAGCUCCGCGCCCGUGCGUUGCUGAUUGUGAUGAAGAACGAAGAUAUGUGUUCAUGUGCGUUGCAUCGAAGGAUGAAGGAUGAGGAUUCGUGAUGAAGAUCGAGGUGUCGCGUUCGUGUCGCUGAUGGUGAAUCUUGAUGAAGGUUCAAGAAUUAUUGUGUGCGACGUCGAUGAAAAGUCGAUCGUUGACGAUCCGUCGCGAGGUUGUCACGAUUCGUUUGCAUAUUACUGCUGCGUGUUGAGGAUCAUUACGGUUGUUCUGAUAUAAAGAGUGAUGCCGAUCGCGAAACUGCUUCCUCCGGCGAAAAAGCGGACAUGUUGAGGAAAACAAAUCAGAAGAGGGUGGUUCAGUUUGGUUCCUGUUGGAGCAGUUCUCGUUAUGGCGGUUGGCCGUUAUGAGCGUUUUUUAUGCAGGUUUUGUAUUGGAGAGGUUCUUAUGAAGUUGAAGGUUUGUUAGCAAAAUUCAGUUGGGAAUUUUGGAAGGUUAUUUUCAGAGUUUCCCUCAGUUUUGAUUGUUGUUGCUACGGUUUGAUGGUUGCAUUGUUCCGAAAUGAACCGUGACAAGAGUUCAUUUGCCUGAAGCAUAUCAUAUGUCCGCAGGUAGGUGGGGAACGUUUCACACCGGUCAUGCAUAACACCUUUUCUCCUUCACCAGUGCGACAUUCAGACCCCCCGUGAUUAGAUCACAUGUCCGUAACAUUCCGAAUUUGUUCCGUAUUGCAAUCUAGUAUGUGCUAGAUGUCCCACUUAUACAUGAUGCAGGCGGCUUACGGUAAGGUUAUGAAACUCUUUAUUGGUUGCCGUGGUUAAUUGAGUUCAAUGAAGUGCAUCGGCUAUGGAACCUUGAAACACAUUGGCUGCCAUAGUGGAACACUUUGAUUUUGAUUGCUCGUGUUUUGGACCUUGAAGAUGUAUGUGAAAUUUUGUAAUUGGUGUUGAAUGGUGAAAUUUAAUUUGGAAAUUGAGAUUAUCACGAAAUUGAUGUAUUAUGGAAAUUGAAAGUAUUGAACAUGAUUAUUGAAUCAAAUGGUAUAUGUAUUGUAAUUUCACAAUGUCGUGAUCGUGAAUGGAUUGAAAAAUCAAAUUGAAAUGAGAUUGUUUGUUGUUUGAA